rnacentral:misc_RNA from 1 species
GAUGAAGAACGUAGCGAAAUGCGAUACGUAAUGUGAAUUGCAGAAUUCAGUGAAUCAUCGAGUCUUUGAACGCACAUUGCGCCCCCUGGUAUUCCGGGGGGCAUGCCUGUCCGAGCGUCAUUGCUGCCCUCAAGCACGGCUUGUGUGUUGGGCCUCCGUCCUCCUCCCGGGGGACGGGCCCGAAAGGCAGCGGCGGCACCGCGUCCGGUCCUCGAGCGUAUGGGGCUUCGUCACCCGCUCUUGUAGGCCCGGCCGGCGCUUGCCGACACAUCAAUCUUUUUUCCAGGUUGACCUCGGAUCAGGUAGGGAUACCCGCUGAACUUAAGCAUAUCAAAAAGCGGAGGA